UUCGGUCCCUGGAAAGUGGCGCACGGGUGAGUAACACGUGGAUAAUCUACCCGGUGGUUUGGGAUAACAUCUCGAAAGGGGUGCUAAUACCAGAUAAGCCCACGUUGUCUUCGGAUGACGCGGGAAAAGGGGGCUUCGGCUCCUGUCACCGGAUGAGUCCGCGGCCCAUUAGCUAGUUGGUGGGGUAAUGGCCCACCAAGGCGACGAUGGGUAGCUGGUCUGAGAGGAUGAUCAGCCACACUGGAACUGAGACACGGCCCAGACUCCUACGGGAGGCAGCAGUGGGGAAUUUUGGACAAUGGGGGCAACCCUGAUCCAGCCAUUCCGCGUGAGUGAAGAAGGCCUUCGGGUUGUAAAACUCUUUCGGCAGGAACGAAACGGUGAAGGCUAAUACCCUUUACUAAUGACGGUACCUGAAGAAGAAGCACCGGCUAACUACGUGCCAGCAGCCGCGGUAAAACGUAGGAGGCGAGCGUUAUCCGGAUUUACUGGGCGUAAAGCGCACGCAGGCGGCUUCGUUAGUCGGGUGUGAAAGCUCCUAGCUUAACUGGGAGAGGCCAUUCGAUACUGCGAGGCUUGAGGUUGGGAGAGGGGUGUGGAAUUCCCGGUGUAGUGGUGGAAUGCGUAGAUAUGCGGAGGAACACCAGUGGCGAAAGCGGUCUCCUGGCCCACUUCUGACGCUCAGACGCGAAAGCUAGGGUAGCAAACGGGAUUAGAGACCCCGGUAGUCCUAGCUGUAAACGAUGUUAAC
rnacentral:rRNA from 1 species